rnacentral:rRNA from 1 species
UACGGAGGAUGCAAGCGUUAUCCGGAAUGAUUGGGCGUAAAGCGUCCGCAGGUGGCUAUGUAAGUCUGCUGUUAAAGAGUCUGGCUCAACCAGAUAAAGGCAGUGGAAACUACAUGGCUAGAGUGCGUUCGGGGCAGAGGGAAUUCCUGGUGUAGCGGUGAAAUGCGUAGAGAUCAGGAAGAACACCGGUGGCGAAGGCGGCUUUCUGGACAAAUACCGACGCUGAGGCACG